rnacentral:lncRNA from 1 species
AAAAUCUGGCAUGACAGACUUUGUCAUUUAGAUGAAAUAUAAUUCCAAAGUUACAUAAAGAUGUAUACUUGGGAUUAAUUGAUUUUGACAAGUACAAAUUAUGCAUGUCUGGCACAAUAACCAAAUCUUCUUUUGCUUGAAAAGAAGAAAGCUCAGCAUAAUUACUGGUCUAAUGCAUAGUGAUGCGUAUGGACUCAUGUCAAAAGAUGCCAGGUAAUGUUUCUCUUACUUCAUCAAUGAUCAUGUAU